CAUGGACAGAGGAGAUUAUUACUGCGGACCGGAACGCUCCAUUCGCCUUUGUGCACUGCGGCUUUUGGACAUCCUUUUAACCCCAGUUACCAAGAGAGAAUCGCCUAAACCGAUGGAGUGCUGGACAGAUGACUCAGCCAUUAAGAGCACCCACUGUUCUUACAAGGAGCCUGAGUUUGAUUUCCAGCAUCCACAUGGAGGUUCACAAUGUAAGACUGUAACUUCAGUCUCAGGGGAUCCUAUACCCUCUUCUGGCUUCCACAGGUACUGUACGUGGUGUAUAGAAAUACAUUCAAGCAAAUACUCAUGCACAUAAAUUAGAAAUAAAAAUCUCAAAAAAAGUUUCUGUAUGCCAUUGUCACAUGUGACAACAUUAACAAGUCCUUGACAUCAUUGAUAUCCAGUCCAUAUCUUGAUUCCCCCAGGCAUCCAGAACUGCACAGAGCUCCAGCAUAGGCCAGUGGGUUUGUCAUGGCAAGAGGUAUUAGGAGAGGGUUGCAAUUGCUUUCUGGCCACCUUGUCUGUGUCUCUGACAGAAAUAGGUAGAGUGGGGACCAGUGGAGAGACCUUGAGGUUAGUUACAGUCACCUCCCCGAGCUGGUAGAUAUUGAGACUGUCUCUCCUUGAAGUAAUGCCUAUGAGACGGCCUCUCCUUUGAUUCCUGAUGUCCUGUGGUCUUCCUCCGACCCCCAGCCCCCAGCUUCCUGCUCCUGGUACUUCCUGUCUGUCCCACUGGUACCCACUGCUUCUCCAUUGGCUCCUGCUGUCACUGCAGAAACUUCCUAACUCAGAGAACAGACUUCUCCCACACCCCAUGCUCUUCCACCAAGCAUAGAACUCCUCGGAGCAAGAGAACAUUCAAGAAGCAAGCGCUACCCUGUCAGUCCUAAAGUCUCCAACCAGAGAAAUAUAGCAGCUGGGUGUUUCUUGCUAUCAAAGACAUGGUUAGGGCUGGUGGUCCUGAUGAGACAAUACAACUCCACUCAGAAAGUAUCAAGGUCAAAAAAGCUGAGGAAAAGCAGAGAAAUGUUUCAAAGUGAAGAUUUAGCAUAAGGCAAUAAGAGAGAAAAUGUGUCUGACUUGUGACUCCUGGGGCUGCAAACACAUUGUUGGAGAAGCCUGAAUGGGAUCUUCUUAGAAGGUGAAGAGCUUUAUGGGAAAUGCACACCAGAGAGCUCCAGACCCAGGGACCCCCUGCAUUACAGUAAGCAGCAUGAUCGCAUGGCUUGGGUAGGCUCUGAUAUUACACCAACAAGCUAGGUGUGUGCUUUCCAGUUGAGCUACAGUACUAGCCUGAAAAAUGUUAUUCAAAAUGAUGGCUAUUAAGAUGUCUAUGGUGCCUAAAACGCUGUAGGUGCUCAAGAAUGUAAAUUCCUCUCAGAAUGCUGAUCUCCUAUAGCAACCCACAGGCACGUGUCUGCUAAGGUCGGCUCUCACUUUAAUGGUAAUGGGUUCCUCUGUCUCUGAACUUUGACCCCAGGGAACAAGGGUAGCUUCUACAUUUCAGCUGGAUUAACAAAAUUCUGUCUUCUAGGAACUGGCAAAGGAAAUGAGAUGCUAAUCCACUUCUGCUUCUCAACUUGAAUCUAGAGGACAUGCAGAUUUAACUAGAUCUGAUAUCUGAGGGGAACUGUCUCCUGUAGUGAGCAAAGGAUGUUAAAAUUUAGUCGGCAGG